UGGCAGCACUCUAAAACUUCAGAGGCCUAU
rnacentral:piRNA from 1 species